GCGCGAAAACUUUACAAUGCUGGCAACAGCGAUAAGGGAACCUCGAGUGCCAGGUUACAAAUCUGGCUGUCGAGAUGCCUAAAAAGCAUUUCAUAGCAAGGGCCGGGCAAGACCGGUGCCAGCCGCCGCGGUAACACCGGCGGCUCGAGUGGUAACCGUUAUUAUUGGGUCUAAAGGGUCUGUAGCCGGCCGGGUAAGUCUCUUGGGAAAUCUGGCAGCUCAACUGUCAGGCUUUCAGGAGAUACCGUCUGGCUCGAGGCCGGGAGAGGUGAGAGGUACUUCAGGGGUAGGGGUGAAAUCUUGUAAUCCUUGAAGGACCACCAGUGGCGAAGGCGUCUCACCAGAACGGACCUGACGGCAAGGGGCGAAAGCUAGGGGCACGAACCG
rnacentral:rRNA from 1 species